rnacentral:lncRNA from 1 species
CCCUUUAAAAUAUCCCAUCUGGAAAAAAAAAACAUCUCACUUAAAUUUUUCUUUUCUUUCAGAAAAUAUAAUUUAUUACAUAACAUUUACAACACAAACAAACUGCAUAGCACUCCCUCUACAGAAAACAUUACAGAAUAAUAUAAGUAUAGCUGAUAUAGAGGCAAUUAAUGCAGAAAAACAGAACGAUUUAAGCUGCGGGUGGUGCUAUUAAGGGCAGUAAUAUCACUUAGAAGUCCCUGUGGCACUGUGACACGUGUAUGGAAGGAACAUGUUCCUUUGAGGUUAAAGGGAGUAACGAUAGCUGUAGUGGUUAUGGUUCCAGCAGUAUCCUUGCAUUCCCAAGUUUAAUUUAUCAACUAUUUUUGAACAGUUUGGCAACUUACCUGGGAUGCCAAGCACAUGUAUUGCAUUCUGCCUUCUCCUGCAAGGACUCUUGAUUGGGUCUUUAUUGCUCUAAAGAACAGUCAGUACAGGUCAGCGCUCAUUAGCUGAGAUCGUUCAGUUGAUGCUCUGAUCCUGGCAUAGGCAACCUUCGGCACUCCAAAUAUUGUGGGCUACAUCUCCCAGAAUGCUCUUACAGCUAUAAUGCUGGCAAAGCAUCAGGGGAGAGGUAGUCCACAACAUCUGGAGUGAUGAAGGUUGCAUACUCCUGCUCUAAUCCAAUGAGUGCGGCCCUGCUUAGCUUAGUGGAGCUAAACAUAUUCUCAUAGUCAAAAUUUUAUAAAAAUGACAAAUUACACUGGGAAGGUAGCAGGACACUCCUAGCACCAUAACUGCUACAAUGGGCUGCAGUGGUUACGAUGCUUGGAGUGUCCCUUUAAAGGGAUCAAAUAUCUCCUCAGACCUCACAAGAAACUUUAAAACAUGGAAAAUUGAUAGCGCAUGUUUGUUUGUGAGCUAUAUCUCAAUCGAAAUGGCUGUCAAUUAAAAUAAAGCAUCAUGAUAAUAUGAUAAAGCAUUUAUAUUGUUUUUUAAUUUGAAGACAAAAAAGUUGAGCUUGAGAAUUAUUUCACAUGGACUUUGGUUGAAACAGUUCAAAAGAUUUAGCCAUCAAAAUGGAAAAUGUUGUUACUACUGUUGAGUUUAGUUCCGAACCAGUUGUCCACCCUGGGGACAUCUUGGCCAAUAAGGAAAGUUUCUAACGAGUUCAUUUGAUCAUUUCCCCUUUUGAGAUGCAGUAGUCUGUACACCAAAUUUAGCAUGCCACUCAGCAGUCAAAAAUAUAAUUAUUGUGUUUAAAUUUGAUUGAUAAAACUAUAAAAGGGAAUAUUCAUAAAAUAGUGAAUUGCGUUGGCUUGAAAACCAACUUCCAAAAUAGAGACCAAAAUGAUAAGUUUGGUAGAUUAUACGCAACACAGCAGAACUGGAGAUUUCAACCAGCUUGUCUAAUCUAGUUUGUUCAACAUAGGUUAAUAUUUAUUAGCCGUCUAAGUGAACAAAUUGCUCAAAACAUAUUUCAAGAGUUUUGCUGAAAUUGUAAAAGGAAUUUCAGGAAAACUACCAAAGAAAAUAUUAAUUUAGGCUUGAUGAAGGGCAGAUCUCUUGAAUGCUUGUCAUUCGAAAAUGCUGUUAGUCGAAUACCAAAACUAUUACAUGUACUAUGAUUAUCUAUUACUGUACAUCUGCAUUACUGAACAGAGUCAGCUACUAUUUCAAGGAAAAUAAAGACAGAUUAUUUUUGUUUAUUUUGUUUAUCGAACAAAAUAUUAAAAUCAAGGCCAUUGUGAAUAGCCCAGAAUGAAACUGCCAGACUCUAAUUUGCCUUUAACAAAAUGAAAAAAAAACAAACAAACUCAAAAAACCAUAAAAAAGUUAAAAAAAAUAAAAUAAAAAAAAUUACAGUGUCGUUGUGAAGCAUAAACAAAAUCCUGGCUUCCCCAUCCUUUACUGAGACAUACAAAACUUGGAAGGAUUUUGUGACACAUUUUUAUCCAUGUUACGUUUCAAGAUAACUUUACUUAAAACAUUAUCUCGUGUAGGAGACCACUAGGCCAGUGAAAGAAUGCAACGAUAAGAAAGAUUAGUAACAAGAAAAAUAUACAACAGAAUUUGUUACCACAAUUAUUAACACGCUAAGCUUGUCCAUAGAACAAAAGUUCAACCUUAUAUAAAAUAAAACUCUUCUUUGUUACACCAUUAUUAUGCCGAGCCCCAAAGCUGUAUUAAUGAUUACUUAUGUCAUGUAACAGGUGCAAAGCAUUUGCACAGGCCAAAAAAAAGGGCUAUGCAACAUAACUAUAUAAAAAGAACGCUUUAUCCCAAAUGUGACCAUCAGUGGCAAAGUCAAAGGUAAAGUGUGGGUCUUCUUCGCAGUUAUGUAGUCUGCAGUCGAUGGCGAAGCUUUGACCAAAAGUCCACGCAUCGGGGGUGUACUCCCUCAAGCUGAUAAAUACGUAUGUAUAUGUAUAUAUUCUUUUUAAAAUGAUUGAUUUGGAAGUAUGUAAGGCUGAGAGUCUUUAUAGCAAUGACAUAGCAAUUUAUAAUGAUGUGUACCAGUUACAUUUUAGAGAAGCACAUUGUCCCCCACACUUUAACCCUAUAUCCUUAGACAAUACAGGCACAGCGGUAUACUUCCUAACCCUAAUGCAAUUCCUUACUCUCAGCCGAGGAAGUUACAGCUCACAACAUCUUGAAUGCAAACACUACAAAACUUUUUUCUCUUAUUUCUCUUAUGCCUAACUUCAAGCACCUCCCAUACCAAUCUAAUCUUCUGUACCCCACAUUACAGCAAAACUGAAAAUGUUAAAUACACACUUUAGAAAAUAAUAUCAUUGUGUGUUUGUGGCUCACACCCCAUAUAUCUGUUUGUUAUAUUCUAAUCAAGCAUUCCAUUCUAAUGAAGUGUUUCAGGCUCUUUGUGAAUAGAACAUUGUUUCAUACAUUGCCUAGGAACGUUGUAUAAUGCCUAGACAUGUUUAGAUAAACAGCACAUAUAUGCUGCGCCAAAGUAGAAAAUUGAAAUAUUAUAUUCAUCUUUAAGUUUCAUGUAACCCUUAUGGGUACAUAUCUGUACUUCCUGUUUUACACAAAUUAUGAAAAUUUACCAUGACUUGAUCUAGACAGAACAAAUGUAGGAAAACCAUGACCCCCAUUUCGUUCACAGUCCUGUAUCAUAAUUCAGUCAAAUUUCCCUACAGUGCUGCAUUACAAACUGCGAAAUCCCCGCUGUGCGUAGCGUUUAAUGGAUGUAACACGCAGACAGAUGACCCACCAGUUCUUCCUGCUCUGGGAAAGCACAACAGUUGGGGUGCAUUGCAGAAUUUUAACAGAUGUUUAUGAAGAUGUUCCUGUCUGAUCUCAAUUAAGGCUUUACCAGUUUUCUAAAAGUAUGGCACACAAAUUCUAUUCACUCCAUUGGAUUUAAUGGGUUUAAGUAACUUUAAUAAAUGGAGAGAUUCAUACAAGUUGGGGGUAUCAUCUAUACUCUAUGAAUACUAUAUCCUACAGCACUUAAUAUAAUUAUUUUCCUCUUUUUUUAUAUAAAUCCUCAAAUAAUCUUUAUGUUGACGUGAGUUAAUUGCAGAUUUUUUUCUCCAAAAAAAAAAACCGCUAUGUUGUAAUUUAACAGAUGGUGACUGCUAUAAAAAUUAGCAAUGGGUGUCCUGAACCUCUCGAGCUUCGAGAAGUGGUAAAUGUUGAGAGGGAAGAACAUCUGCUAUCAUCUUAAAGCAGGAGCUAAUAACUCUGCCCCCUAUGGCGGGUUUAGUCUCUUCCAAAUCCUAAAACUGCUACAAAAAAGUUAUGUAUUUAUAAAAAAUAAUAAUAAACGCACAUUGACCUUUCUGCUGCUUGUUAAGCAAAUCCACAUAUAGUCUAUUUAUUAACUCACACAUCUACUUGAAGACUUGACCGUUGGAAAAACAAAAAAGUUAAAGCAUUCUACUAAUAUUUUAGGCCUUGCUACAAAAAGCUAUGUUUGAAAUAUUUUGAAGUGGGAACAAAAAUAUUUAGAAACAUUAUUAUUUACCCUACUAUAGGGUUCUUCUAUUGCAUAGAAUUUGAACAUAUAGAGUUUAAGAAUAUUGAAGCCUUGGUCGUAACUUCAGCAAGUCAGAUUAAUACCCAUGUACUCUAAAUUUACUCUAAAAUUAUAUUGAACAAUUUUACCUCGGCAGCUGAGGUUCUAAGAAUGCUUUCUCGCAGAUUUACAGUGCUAGGUACCUUAAGAUUUUACAAUAUUUAUUUUGCAAGGAAGUUAGAAAUUAGUCAUUAUGUUUAAUUUGCAUAUGAGCAAAGAGUAAUCAAUGCAAACUAAAAGGGAUGUUAUGAAGACUAUGCUUAAUGAUCAUGUGUUGUAGCCCUAUUAGUUUGAUCUUCACGUUUCUAGGAAAUGUCCAAAGUUAUUUUACCAUUACUAGUAUAUCAUUAUAUCUACUAUUAUUCUACCUGGGCCUAAAUGGCGUCGUCCUUUUUGUAUAAGAUAGAUAAAACAAGGAAUGCUGGACAUCAUAAGGCCAGAGUAUUUUUAGGUUAAAAUGUAGGACCCAAGUACCAAAACAAGCACUUAAAAUCUCUAGACGUGCAUUAGGCCAUAGAAUAAUUUCAGGCUUAACUGCAUUUUAAAAUAGAGCAAUGUGGUUAUAGCAUAAUAUGAACUUGUUAAAAUUAUUUUUCUCGAGACCAGAAAACCAAGUCAGGGAACUGAAGUAGUUUCUAAAAGUAGUAAAUUAAAAUAUACAGAAACAGGAAGGUACACAAGAUAUAAUUUUUUUGCAAUACCGUGACCCUUUUAAAAAACCAAAAUGGUUCUUCUUCAUC